rnacentral:rRNA from 1 species
GACGAACGCUGGCGGCGUGCCUAAUACAUGCAAGUAGAACGCACAGGAUGCACCGUAGUUUACUACACCGUAUUCUGUGAGUUGCGAACGGGUGAGUAACGCGUAGGUAACCUGCCUGGUAGCGGGGGAUAACUAUUGGAAACGAUAGCUAAUACCGCAUAAGAACAUUUACUGCAUGGUAGAUGUUUAAAAGGUGCAAAUGCAUCACUACCAGAUGGACCUGCGUUGUAUUAGCUAGUAGGUGAGGUAACGGCUCACCUAGGCGACGAUACAUAGCCGACCUGAGAGGGUGAUCGGCCACACUGGGACUGAGACACGGCCCAGACUCCUACGGGAGGCAGCAGUAGGGAAUCUUCGGCAAUGGGGGGAACCCUGACCGAGCAACGCCGCGUGAGUGAAGAAGGUUUUCGGAUCGUAAAGCUCUGUUGUUAAGGAAGAACGAGUGUGAGAAUGGAAAGUUCAUAGCUGUGACGUACUAACC